GGGAGCCCUGCCAGCUGGGCCACCCGAGGGGCGUUGCGGGGCUCCGGGCGGGGUCGACCCGGGGGGCUCCGUCGGGCCCCACCAGCCUUGCGCCUUUUUCGCUCGGUCUCCUUGGCCUCCCGCUCCUGCGACGCCGCUUUCCUUUUCUCUUGCUCCCGAGCUCGGACCUCGGCCAGGGGCCCCGCCCGCCAGUUGGUCGCCUCCUGCAGCACCCUGGAGGCCCAGGGCCGGCGGGGCGGCGGCUGUGGGGAUCCCGGGCGCGGCCCACACCUGGGACAAUGAGCAGGAACCCAGGAGACAGGGUCUUGCUGUGUUGCUGAGCUGGUCUUGAACUCCUGGCCUCCCGCCUCAGUCUCCCAAAGUGCUGGGAUUACAGGGGAAUGUGACUUCACUGGACGCAGUAUAAAGAUCUUCAGAUGUCCUCCUGCCGGGGAUUGCAGGGAUCACAGAAAGACCAUCGAGGUCCAGGAGCUACCUGCAAGCGGAGAUCCCUCUGGACGCCCCGUGCCUCACCCAGCAAAGCCGGCUCACAACCCUGCGCUCUCAAACCUCUAAAAGGGCUUGAGGUGCCAAUAGGAAAGGAGGCCCGAGAUUGCCACGGCAUACGUGGGCCCCAAGGAGGGAGCCAGGAGUCACUGCCUGCUUGGGCUAAGGGUACCGCGUACGGAAAGGCGGCGGGGACGCGGCCCAGUUCCAGGAGAUGCGCCCAACGAAGAAGCGGAGGAACAGGGUCACGGGAUAGGGCAGACACCCGGCUGCUUUUUGUUUGCUAGACACCAGCGCCAGCCCCUGCCCGGCCCUCCCGGUCUCCUAAGGGUUGGGGGGGUGUCUUAGGCUCCACAGCGCCCCCGACCGCCCUCC
rnacentral:lncRNA from 10 species